rnacentral:rRNA from 1 species
CAGAGGGUGCAAGCGUUAAUCGGAAUUACUGGGCGUAAAGCGUGCGUAGACGGUUAUGUAAGUCGGAUGUGAAAGCCCCGGGCUCAACCUGGGAAUGGCAUUCGAGACUGCAUAGCUAGGAUGCGGAAGAGGGCAGUGGAAUUUCGGAUGUAGCGGUGAAAUGCGUAGAUAUCCGAAGGAACAUCAGUGGCGAAAGCGACUGCCUGGUCCAGCAUCGACGUUCAGGCACGAAAGCGUGGGGAGCAAACAGGAUUAGAUACCCUGGUAGUCCACGCCAUAAACGAUGAGAACUAGACGUUGAGAGGGUAAGCCUCCCAGUGUCGUAGCUAACGCGCUAAGUUCUCCGCCUGGGGAGUACGGCCGCAAGGUUG